GGGGAGGUUGCUGCUGGGAGAUAAUUUUUAGGUCCAGGAAGCGCUCGGAAGCAGUCAAUAUAGCAGUAAGCAUCUUCCAGCACCCUGUUAUGGAGAGAAGAGUAUUGGGGUUUAUGGUGAGAACUGUAUCGCAUUGUGGAGCACUAACCAGUUUUUACUGCGGAAGACGACAAGCUUCAUUCUGUGUGUGAUGGGCGGUUGGGAACCAUACCCUUCAAUAUGAAAACUUGCCAGCUUCUAAGUGUUCCACACAGAGGUCAGCACCUUCACUGUCUCCAGCUCAAUCUCUAGGUACACCUACCUAUAUAUGCAAAAAUCAAUUGAGUGAAACCACUAGUUUGAUUAUCCAUUAGAUGCAUUCUUGAUCAAACAUUAGAGCAGUAGUACCCGUGUGAUUUACAAUAUGGGUAUUUUUA